CAAGGCAACGAUGCGUAGCCGACCUGAGAGGGUGAUCGGCCACACUGGAACUGAGACACGGUCCAGACUCCUACGGGAGGCAGCAGUAGGGAAUCUUCCGCAAUGGGCGAAAGCUUGACGGAGCAACGCCGCGUGAGUGAUGAAGGUCUUCGGAUCGUAAAACUCUGUUAUUAGGGAAGAACAAAUGUGUAAGUAACUAUGCACGUCUUGACGGUACCUAAUCAGAAAG
rnacentral:rRNA from 1 species